UACUUUUGCACGCAAAUACGAUAAACGUAUCUACAUAAUAAUCAUUAAAUAAUAUUAGCAUG
ncrna:Flavobacterium antarcticum DSM 19726 S15-Flavobacteria ribosomal protein leader